rnacentral:rRNA from 1 species
AUGGCUCAGGAUGAACGCUAGCGGCAGGCUUAACACAUGCAAGUCGAGGGGCAGCGUGGAGUAGCAAUACUCUGACGGCGACCGGCGAAAGGGUGAGUAACGCGUGAGCAACAUGCCCGGUACUGGGGGGAUAGUCGAUGGAAACGUCGCGUAAUACCCCGUAACAACAGAGGCCGCAUGACCUUUGUUUAAGAGAUUUAUUGAUACCGGAUUGGCUCGCGUACCAUUAGCUAGUUGGCGGGGUAACGGCCCACCAAGGCGACGAUGGUUAGGGGUUCUGAGAGGAAGGUCCCCCACAUUGGAACUGAGACACGGUCCAGACUCCUACGGGAGGCAGCAGUGAGGAAUAUUGGUCAAUGGCCGAGAGGCUGAACCAGCCAUGCCGCGUGCGGGAAUGACGGCCCUAUGGGUUGUAAACCGCUUUUGUUGGGGAGCAGUAAGGUUCACGUGUGGACUGAUGAGAGUACCCAGCGAAUAAGCAUCGGCUAACUCCGUGCCAGCCGCCGC